GUUCUGGGAACAGUAUGGCCAAAUGUGGUGGCCACAUCAUGACUUACUGGCCCAUCCUGGUGAUGUAGGUCUACCCCUUCUAUGUCCUCAUCUAGUCUUGACAGCCCAGGUUCUAGGAUUUCUGCAUCUCUCUGCACCUGCGUGGCGGAAAUGGGCCAGAAAAGAGUGAGACCACAGCAGGAGAGGCAGUAUGGAUCAGCAGGAAUGAGCAAUCAAGGAGCACGUAGAGUAUUUCCCUGGUCACCAGAACUGCAACAUAGGUCCAAAGGCAAAUUCUCUGGACUUGGGUUCAUAGACCAGACCAAUAUUUGGGUGGCUAUUACGGAAUAUUCCUUUAAAAACAUGAAAAAGGAGCCAGUUUGCAAGAUCCAAACCAGCCUUCCAAACUGCGAGCAUUUCCACACUCCCUCUACAUGCAAUUAUCCAUAAACACACAUGUACACAGCCUUCCCGUCAGUGAGAAUUUCCAUGGCUAUGAGAUCCCAAAUCAUCCUCCAGUCCAGAUUGUGCUUGAAAAAAAGAACCACACAACUAAAUACGUAGAUUUUGCUGCAGGGAAAAAAAAAAAAGAGAGAAGAUUUCCUCCAUUAUUUUUCACAGAAUCAUAGAACGGCCUGGGUUGAAAAGGACCACAAUGCUCAUCCAGUUCCAACCCCCUGCUAUGUGCAGGGUCACCAACCAGCAGACCAGGCUGCCCAGAGCCACAUCCAGCCUGGCCUUGAAUGCCUCCAGGGAUGGGGCAUCCACAGCCUCCUUGGGCAACCUGUUCAGUGCGUCACCACCCUCUGGGUGAAAAACUUCCUCCUCAUAUCAACCUAAACCUCCCCUGUCUCAGUUUAAGACCAUUCCCCCUUGUCCUAUCCAUAUCCAUCCUGUAAACAGCCAUUCCCCCUCCUGUUUUCUGGGUUUCCCCUCCUGUUUUCUGGGUUUCCCCUCCUGUUUUCUUGGCAGUGGGUGUGAUGUCCUGACAAUGGCAGCUGUUUGCACACUACUGAUCUCAAUCUAUGUCCAUGAGAAUGGGAACCCAGCCCAUCCUUGAUCCUUUUUGAGGGAAUGCCAUCUCAAAUCCAC
ensembl:lncRNA